UCUCACCCGCUUCGAUUCCCCAACUUCCCAAAUCAUGAGCUCGAAGCACGGAUCAGAUCGCCGAGUCGCGCGCCGCCUCGCCCCGCUCCACUCCACUUCGUCCGGAGCCUCAGGUUGACGUUCAAGCCAUACGUGAAAAAUCUGUACUCAACUUGUGAUAAACAAGUAUAAUGAGCAUCAGAUACCAUUAUCAAGACAAUUCGUUGCUAAACAUCUUUCCAGAGAAGCAUGGAGAUGAUCAUUUUGUUAGGUUACAAGCACUGCUAUGUUUUUUUUUUUUGCGAGAGGUUCUCACCAUUUGAGUUAUCUUUUCAUGUAUAUCAGAUGAACAAAUUUUGACAUCACGAGACAGUUUUCCCUUGUAAUAAACAUAUUUUCCAUAUAUUUUUUUUGACUUGUGUAGCUUAAUUGUCUUAUGUAUACUUGGCAUUUCAAGUAGACAGAUGAGACAUUUUCCAGUUUCCUCUACCUUUUUUCAUGUCUGUGAUAGCUGAAUUCACAAGUUACCUUUGAUCUAA